rnacentral:rRNA from 1 species
UACGUAGGUGGCAAGCGUUGUCCGGAUUUAUUGGGCGUAAAGCGCUCGCAGGUGGUUCGAUGCGUCGUGCGUGAAAGACCCCGGCUCAACUGGGGAGGGUCGUGCGAUACGGUCGAACUGGAGGCCAGUAGGGGGAUGCGGAAUUCCGGGUGUAGUGGUGGAAUGCGUAGAGAUCCGGAGGAACACCAGCGGCGAAGGCGGCAUCCUGGACUGGUCCUGACACUCAUGAGCGAAAGCGUGGGGAGCGAACAGG